AGAGAGCUGGUUUCAAGUGCAGGGCGCAUCAGGUGUUUAUUAGUGAAGGACCACAGGAGGAGGCAGGUAGCUGGGUCCAGGGGCAGGCAGAAGGUCAUAUACACAGGAGGAGGCAGGUAGCUGGGUCCAGGGGCAGGCAGAAGGUCAUAUACACAGGAGGAGGCAGGUAGCUGGGUCCAGGGGCAGGCAGAAGGUCAUACACAGGAGGAGGCAGGUAGCUGGGUCCAGGGGCAGGCAGAAGGUCAUAUACACAGGAGGAGGCAGGUAGCUGGGUCCAGGGGCAGGCAGAAGGUCAUACACAGGAGGAGGCAGGUAGCUGGGUCCAGGGCCAAAAACGAUGAUACACAGGAGGACUAAUUUGGAAAUUAACAGAGCUCCG
ensembl:lncRNA